GACGAACGCUGGCGGCGUGCUUAACACAUGCAAGUCGAACGGAAAGGCCCUGCUUUUGUGGGGUGCUCGAGUGGCGAACGGGUGAGUAACACGUGAGUAACCUGCCCUUGACUUUGGGAUAACUUCAGGAAACUGGGGCUAAUACCGGAUAGGAGCUCCUGCUGCAUGGUGGGGGUUGGAAAGUUUCGGCGGUUGGGGAUGGACUCGCGGCUUAUCAGCUUGUUGGUGGGGUAGUGGCUUACCAAGGCUUUGACGGGUACCCGGCCUGAGAGGGUGAACGGCCACAUUGGGACUGAGAUACGGCCCAGACUGCUACGGGAGGCAGCAGUGGGGAAUAUUGCACAAUGGGCGGAAGCCUGAUGAAGAAACGCCGCGUGCGGGAUGACGGCCUUCGGGUUGUAAACCGCUUUCGCCUGUGACGAAGCGUGAGUGACGGUAAUGGGUAAAGAAGCACCGGCUAACUACGUG
rnacentral:rRNA from 1 species